rnacentral:rRNA from 1 species
UCGGGAAUUUUGGGCAAUGGGGGAAACCCUGACCCAGCAACGCCGCGUGAAGGAUGAAGUAUUUCGGUAUGUAAACUUCGAAAGAAUAGGAAGAAUAAAUGACGGUACUAUUUAUAAGGUCCGGCUAACUACGUGCCAGCAGCCGCGGUAAUACGUAGGGACCAAGCGUUGUUCGGAUUUACUGGGCGUAAAGGGCGCGUAGGCGGCAAUUCAAGUCAUCUGUGAAAUCUCCGGGCUUAACUCGGAACGGUCAACUGAUACUGUCACACUAGAGUACAGAAGGGGCAAUCGGAAUUCUUGGUGUAGCGGUGAAAUGCGUAGAUAUCAAGAGGAACACCUGAGGCGAAGGCGGGUUGCUGGGCUGAUACUGACGCUGAGGCGCGAAAGCUAGGGUAGCAAACGGGAUUAGAUACCCAAGUAGUCCCUGAGCGGGCUGGCAAGGCGCAU